CCUUCGGUAGCUCAGCGGUAGAGCGCGGGAACGAAUUUGAGGAGGCCGUACCAAAUUUCGUCUCGAGGACGCUGGUUCAAUACCAGCUCGAAGGA